CAGAAUGAACUAAAGGAGGAGCAGAUUAAAUCCCAGCAGAAGAUCCAGGAGAAGCAGAAAAGGUGCAGGAGCUGAAACAGACUGUUGAUAUUAUUAAGAUGCGUUCACAGGCAGCAGUAGAUGAUAAUGAGAUGAUCUUUAAUGAGAUGAUCAGCUCCCUGGAGAAAAGGCGCUCGGAGGUGACGGAGCUGAUCAGAGUUCAGGAAAAAGCUGAUCUGAGUCGAGCUGAACAACACCUGAAACAUCUGGAGCAGGAGAUCACUGAUCUUCAGAGGAGAGUCAGUGAUCUGGAGCAGCUUUCACACACCUGAUCACAUCCACUUCCUCCAGAGUUUCCUGUCUCUCUGUGUUUCUCCUGGAUGUGACGACUCACCCAGUCUGUCUCAGAUCUGAAAAAACGAGUCGAGGAAAUCUGUCAGGAGGAAUUCAACAAAAUCCGUCCACAAGAAGUUCAGAUGAGUUUACCAUCAGAACCAAAAAGCAGAAAAGAUUUUCUGCAGUAUUUCUGUUAUCUGACUCUUGAUCCCAACACAGCACAUCCUCAACUCAUUCUGUCUGAGAAGAAGAAGAGUCGUGAUAAGACAAAACUGCGAUACUCUGAUUAUCCAGAGAGAUUGGACUUCUAUGCUCAGGUGUUGUGUAAACAGUAAACAACAGUAAAC